rnacentral:rRNA from 1 species
GACGAACGCUGGCGGCGUGCUUAACACAUGCAAGUCGAGCGGUAAGGCCCUUUCGGGGGUACACGAGCGGCGAACGGGUGAGUAACACGUGGGUGACCUGCCCUUAGCUCUGGGAUAAGCCUGGGAAACUGGGUCUAAUACCGGAUAUGACUCCAUGACGCAUGUUGUGGGGUGGAAAGCCUUGUGCGGCUAGGGAUGGGCCUGCGGCCUAUCAGCUUGUUGGUGGGGUGAUGGCCUACCAAGGCGACGACGGGUAGCCGGCCUGAGAGGGCGACCGGCCACACUGGGACUGAGACACGGCCCAGACUCCUACGGGAGGCAGCAGUGGGAAUCUUGCGCAAUGGGCGAAAGCCUGACACAGCGAC